rnacentral:lncRNA from 8 species
UUGAAUGUAAACGUUCAGUGUUUUUAUUCUUUAGGUAUCUACUCAGACCUCAGAUUGGACCUGUUAAUUCCAUGUGGAUCACAAAGCAUCAUAAUGUGUAUAGGAGGAAGAAGGGUACGCAUCAUGUCAACUGGCUGGGAGUGGGAGGAAGGGUACGCAUCAUGUUAACUGGCUGGGAGGGGGAGGAAGGGUACGCAUCAUGUCAACUGUCUGGGAGGAGGAAGGGUACGCAUCAUGUCAACUGGCUGGGAGGAGGAGGAAGGGUACGCAUCAUGUCAACUGGCUGGGAGGAGGAGGAAGGGUACGCAUCAUGUCAACUGGCUGGGGGGAGGAAGGGUACGCAUCAUGUCAACUGGCUGGGAGGGGGAGGAAGGGUACGCAUCAUGUUAACUGUCUGGGGGGAGGAAGGGUACGCAUCAUGUCACCUGUCUGGGAGGAGGAAGGGUACGCAUCAUGUCAACUGGCUGGGAGGAGGAGGAAGGGUACGCAUCAUGUCAACUGUCUGGGAGGAGGAAGGGUAUGCAUCAUGUCAACUGCCUGGGAGGAGGAGGAAGGGUACGCAUCAUGUCAACUGGCUGGGAGGAGGAGGAAGGGUACGCAUCAUGUCAACUGGCUGGGAGGAGGAAGGGUACGCAUCAUGUCAACUGGCUGGGAGGGGAGGAAGGGUACGCAUCAUGUCAACUGGCUGGGAGGAGGAGGAAGGGUACGCAUCAUGUCAACUGGCUGGGAGGGGGAGGAAGGGUACGCAUCAUGUCAACUGUCUGGGAGGGGGAGGAAGGGUACGCAUCAUGUCAACUGGCUGGGAGGAGGAAGGGUAUGCAUCAUGUCAACUGGCUGGGGGGAGGAAGGGGGAAGGGAAAAAUAGUGUUGGGUAAUAGAGAAUUAAAGACCAUUAAAAAUAGUGUAAAUCUUUUAGCUGGUUUUAAACCGGUAGUUACCACUUCAGACUACCGGGUUAGAACAAGGAUGAGGAGGAUGUCCAGGUUAUUUUGAUUGACGAUCCACUCACAGACACACACAUCCAACACCACUCUGAGUCUAACUUGUGACUGACAAGAACUGUCUGAGAAUGAUUGUGGUUCUGAA